UACGAAGGGUGCUAGCGUUGUUCGGAAUUACUGGGCGUAAAGCGCGCGUAGGCGGCUUUGCAAGUCAGAGGUGAAAUCCUGAGGCUUAACCUUAGAAUUGCCUUUGAAACUGCAUGGCUAGAGUACUGGAGAGGAUGGUGGAAUUCCUAAUGUAGCGGUGAAAUGCGUAGAUAUCUGGAGGAACACCGGUGGCGAAGGCGGCAUCCUGGACCAAUUCUGACACUGAGGAGCGAAAGCCAGGGGAGCAAACGGG
rnacentral:rRNA from 1 species